rnacentral:tRNA from 1 species
GGAGGUUUGGGUGAGUGGCUUAUACCACCACUUUGCUAAAGUGGCGAACCACAAAGGUUCCGCAAGUUCGAAUCUUGCAGCCUCCG